rnacentral:rRNA from 1 species
GCAUAUCAAUAAGCGGAGGAAAAGAAACCAACAGGGAUUGCCCCCAGUAACGGCGAGUGAAGCGGCAACAGCUCAAAUUUGAAAUCUGGCCCCAGGCCCGAGUUGUAAUUUGCAGAGGAUGCUUUUGGCGCGGUGCCUUCCGAGUUCCCUGGAACGGGACGCCAUAGAGGGUGAGAGCCCCGUACGGUUGGACACCAAGCCUUUGUAAAGCUCCUUCGACGAGUCGAGUAGUUUGGGAAUGCUGCUCUAAAUGGGAGGUACAUUUCUUCUAAAGCUAAAUAUUGGCCAGAGACCGAUAGCGCACAAGUAGAGUGAUCGAAAGAUGAAAAGCACUUUGAAAAGAGGGUUAAACAGCACGUGAAAUUGUUAAAAGGGAAGCGCUUGUGACCAGACUUGCGUCCGGUGAAUCACCCAGCUCUCGCGGCUGGGGCACUUCGCCGGCACAGGCCAGCAUCAGCUUGCCGUCGGGGACAAAAGCUUCAGGAACGUGGCUCCUCUCGGGGAGUGUUAUAGCCUGUUGCACAAUACCCUUCGGCGGGCUGAGGUACGCGCUCCGCAAGGAUGCUGGCGUAAUGGUCAUCAGCGACCCGUCUUGAAACACGGACCAAGGAGUCAACCUUAUGUGCGAGUGUUUGGGUGUUAAACCCCUACGCGUAAUGAAAGUGAACGCAGGUGAGAGCUUCGGCGCAUCAUCGACCGAUCCUGAUGUUCUCGGAUGGAUUUGAGUAAGAGCAUAUAGGGUUGGACCCGAAAGAAGGUGAACUAUGCGUGUGUAGGGUGAAGCCAGAGGAAACUCUGGUGGAGGCUCGCAGCGGUUCUGACGUGCAAAUCGAUCGUCAAACAUGCGCAUGGGGGCGAAAGACUAAUCGAACCUUCUAGUAGCUGGUUUCC